UACGUAGGGGGCGAGCGUUGUCCGGAAUCAUUGGGCGUAAAGAGCUCGUAGGCGGUUCAGUAAGUCGGCUGUGAAAUUCCGAGGCUCAACCUCGGAACUGCAGUCGAUACUAUUGUGACUAGAGUCCGGUAGAGGAGAAUGGAAUUCCCGGUGUAGCGGUGAAAUGCGCAGAUAUCGGGAGGAAUACCGGUGGCGAAGGCGGCAUCCUGGACCGGCAUUGACGCUGAGGAGCGAAAGCCAGGGGAGCAAACGGG
rnacentral:rRNA from 1 species